UACGUAGGUGGCAAGCGUUGUCCGGAUUUACUGGGCGUAAAGAGCGCGCAGGCGGUCUUGUAAGUCGAGUGUGAAAGCCCCUGGCUCAACCAGGGAGGGUCAUUCGAUGCUGCUUGACUCGAAGGCAGGAGAGGGAAGUGGAAUUCCGGGUGUAGUGGUGAAAUGCGUAGAUAUCCGGAGGAACACCGAUGGCGAAGGCAGCACUCUGGGCCGGUACUGACGCUGAGGAGCGAAAGCGUGGGGAGCGAACAGG
rnacentral:rRNA from 1 species